rnacentral:tmRNA from 1 species
GGGGCUGAACGGUUUCGACUUCGCGCAUCGAAUCAAGGGAAGCGUGCCGGUGCAGGCAAGAGACCACCGUAAGCGUCGUUGCGACCAAAUAAGCGCCGAUUCACAUCAGCGCGACUACGCUCUCGCUGCCUAAGCGACGGCUAGUCUGUCAGACCGGGAACGCCCUCGGCCCGGACCCUGGCAUCAGCUAGAGGGAUCCACCGAUGAGUCCGGUCGCGGGACUCCUCGGGACAACCACAGCGACUGGGAUCGUCAUCUCGGCUAGUUCGCGUGACCGGGAGACCCGAGCAGAGGCAUAGCGAACUGCGCACGGAGAAGCCUUGAGGGAAUGCCGUAGGACCCGGGUUCGAUUCCCGGCAGCUCCACC